AAAAUUAGCGGAUGACUUGUGGCUGGGGGUGAAAGGCCAAUCAAACCGGGAGAUAGCUGGUUCUCCCCGAAAGCUAUUUAGGUAGCGCCUCGUGAAUUCAUCUCCGGGGGUAGAGCACUGUUUCGGCAAGGGGGUCAUCCCGACUUACCAACCCGAUGCAAACUGCGAAUACCGGAGAAUGUUAUCACGGGAGACACACGGCGGGUGCUAACGUCCGUCGUGAAGAGGGAAACAACCCAGACCGCCAGCUAAGGUCCCAAAGUCAUGGUUAAGUGGGAAACGAUGUGGGAAGGCCCAGACAGCCAGGAUGUUGGCUUAGAAGCAGCCAUCAUUUAAAGAAAGCGUAAUAGCUCACUGGUCGAGUCGGCCUGCGCGGAAGAUGUAACGGGGCUAAACCAUGCACCGAAGCUGCGGCAGCGACACUAUGUGUUGUUGGGUAGGGGAGCG
rnacentral:rRNA from 1 species